GAUGAACGCUGGCGGCGUGCUUAACACAUGCAAGUCGAACGGGAAUGCUUCGCUGAUGCGAUUUCGGUCAAAUCUUGAAGCAUUUUAGUGGCGGACGGGUGAGUAACGCGUGGGUAACCUGCCCUGUACAGGGGGACAACAGUUGGAAACGACUGCUAAUACCGCAUAAGCGCACAGCUUCGCAUGAAGCAGUGUGAAAAACUCCGGUGGUACAGGAUGGACCCGCGUCUGAUUAGAUAGUUGGUGAGGUAACGGCCCACCAAGUCAACGAUCAGUAGCCGGCCUGAGAGGGCGAACGGCCACAUUGGGACUGAGACACGGCCCAAACUCCUACGGGAGGCAGCAGUGGGGAAUAUUGCACAAUGGGGGAAACCCGUAGAUGCAGCGACGCCGCGUGAGUGAAGAAGUAUUUCGGUAUGUAAAGACUCUAUCAGCAGGGAAGAAAGAACAUGACGGUACCUGACUAAGAAGACCCCGGCCUAACUAACGUGCCAG
rnacentral:rRNA from 1 species